GACGAACGCUGGCGGCGUGCUUAACACAUGCAAGUCGAACGGAAAGGCCCUGCUUUUGUGGGGUGCUCGAGUGGCGAACGGGUGAGUAACACGUGAGUAACCUGCCCUUGACUUUGGGAAAACUUCAGGAAACUGGGGCUAAUACCGGAUAGGAGCUCCUGCUGCAUGGUGGGGGUUGGAAAGUUUCGGCGGUUGGGGAUGGACUCGCGGCUUAUCAGCUUGUUGGUGGGGUAGUGGCUUACCAAGGCUUUGACGGGUAGCCGGCCUGAGAGGGUGACCGGCCACAUUGGGACUGAGAUACGGCCCAGACUCCUACGGGAGGCAGCAGUGGGGAGUAUUGCACAAUGGGCGGAAGCCUGAUGCAGCAACGCCGCGUGCGGGAUGACGGCCUUCGGGUUGUAAACCGCUUUCGCCUGUGACGAAGCGUGAGUGACGGUAAUGGGUAAAGAAGCACCGGCUAACUACGUG
rnacentral:rRNA from 1 species